rnacentral:rRNA from 1 species
ACACUGUGCAAUGCGCGAAAGCGCGACACGGGGAGCUUGAGUGUCUUGGCAUAGCCAAGACUUUUCUCAUUCCUAAAAAGCAUGAGGAAUAAGUGCUGGGUAAGACGGGUGCCAGCCGCCGCGGUAACACCCGCAGCACGAGUAGUGGUCACUUUUAUUGAGCCUAAAGCGUUCGUAGCCGGUUUUGUAAAUCUUCAGAUAAAGCCUGAAGCUUAACUCCAGAAAGUCUGAAGAGACUGCAAGNCUUGAGAUCGGGUGAGGUUAAACGUACUUUCAGGGUAGGGGUAAAAUCCUGUAAUCCCGGAAGGACGACCAGUGGCGAAAGCGUUUAACUAGAACGAAUCUGACGGUAAGGAACGAAGGCUAGGGUAGCAAACCGGAUUAGAUACCCGGGUAGUCCUAGCUGUAAACACUGCCCACUUGAUGUUGCAUUUCCGGUGAGGGAAGGCAGUGUCGGAGCGAAGGUGUUAACG